rnacentral:lncRNA from 1 species
ACUAAACCGCAUAAUUUAUGUUUUUUCUCAAAUUUUUCUGCACUAUAAAAUUUUGAUUGAAACCUUUCUGUUUGUAUAUAUGUUCGCUGCCACCCCCACCAUUUUAAUUUUCUCAUUCUAUGUGAUAAGUCAAUAUUUUUUAUACGUCCUUAGUGUUACGAGAAAAACUUUUUAUGUAGGACCGAAUGAUUAGACUAAUAAUUAAUCAUGCACAAGUCUUUCUCCAAAGUUACCAUGCUGACUAUAAUAUCUUCUUAAGCAUGCAUUUUUUUUUCUUCUCUUUAAUACAAAAUAAAGAAGUAUUACAUUUGCAUAUAAAGUAACAUUAUCUAGGUCAUAUUACUAUUAAGGAAAAUGCUAUUUGCAUAUGAAAAAUAAAGUAAGGAUACUUGUACACAAAGACAAAAUUAGUAAAAUGAAUAAGUUUGUUUUAUAAUGAAAUGUUUCUUAUCUUUAAUGACCAUGUAUAAUAUUAUGUACAAAUAAUAUUACCUACCAAAUGGUUAUGCUACCUCGAAUGGACGCAAAAUUAAUUAUUGGAAUAUAUUAAAACCAUGCAUUGUAUAACUUUUAUUUUUGUUUAUUUAAUUUUGGCUUAAGAGAGAAGAAACAGAUUAGCAUGCUUUAUUUGAUUGAAAAAGACAUUGAAAAUAGCAUUCUUUGUGUUUCCACAAAUGAAGUUAUCCCCACAGAUUUCAGUUUAUUUGGAAAUUUGACAUCCACAUGUUCGUUUGAAAUUUCGACAUCCACAUUCAACAAUCCUUGAAAACGGAGACGAAAAAAGGAAAUAAGUUGGAAGAUGUUCACAUAAUUUCCCUUUCUCAAUAACUACCACACCUCAUCAAAAUUGAAGUCCCAACUCAUAAUAUAUGCUCCCACACAUACGAACGGUCCAGAAAGACUCAACCAUAUACUUGUAUUCUUGAAUGGAUAAUUUUGCCAGCAUGUUUCCUUGUUUGUUGGGUAAAAAAUAAAAGAAAUUAGGGAAAAAGAAAAAAGAAAAAAGCAAAUUGAAUUUGUCAAUGGAAACUUAAAGAUCACUUGACGUUUCCAAUAAGGUAUUUGAUUGACAUCUCAAUUCUGAAUUAGGACUUGAUAUUAUUUCGUGGGUGUCGUGUAUUCUGAUGAACGGCACUCGAAAUUGUAAUGUGAAAACACAGAAAUGAAGGGCCAAAUUAAUUAAAAGUAAAGAGGCUUUCAUGAUGUGGUGCCAGGCUUUAGGAAAAAAUAGUCAGAACUCAAAACGUGCCGUGUAUAUUAUUCUUAACGACAUGAUUGGAUGCCACUUCGGCCUUGGUCGGAAUGCGAGUGGAGUAUGGACAUCCCUCUUCUGUAAGGGAUUAUUUAUCUGGGCAUGUACUUCACAGAAUUCAAUGUAAUAAUAUAAGUCACAAUCAUGUAUUUCUGAUUGUAAAUAUCAAUGUAAUAUAUCUGCUAUAAUAGCAGUUGUAAAUAUCUGUGUAAUGCAGUAAUAUGAUGAUUAAUCAGUAUUAAAAAAAACGACAUAAUUGGAUUGGGUCUGCUUAACUAUAUAAUAUUCGGCUUAAGAAUUAAUGAAAUUAAUAAAAUCAUUAAAUAUUAUUAAUUUAAUCAAGUGUAAAUGAUUAUUUGAUAUUCCUUUUGGGUUUGUACAACCUCGAUCGAGUCGAUGCUUCUUGAAGUCGUCUUGACUUGGGGGUAUCCAAACUCCCGGGACGAACAAAUAUGAAGCAACAUGAAGAAAGGCGAUAACGACUCACACAAAACUUUAUAGCAACGAAAUCUCUUUUCUAGAUAAAGUAAGAGAUAGGUUAAAUUGAAAAAUAAUAAUAAUAAUAAUAGCACAGUGAGUGACUUCAUGAAUUUAUGAGAUAACCAUGUAAUGGCAUCAGAACUUGAAAAAUAAAAAUCAUUAAAAAAAUUAAAAAUCAAAGUUAUGCAUUUUGUAAGGAUAUUUUAUGUGGUAGAUACAUGUUUAGUCUCUAUAUUUUAGAUUAAGCACUCAUAUUUUGAAAAAUGUCUCAAGAUUUGUUAUGCUUUUAUCCUUAUAUUUUUCCUCAACUUUUACAAAAACAUCCUUGCAAUAAUCUUGGGGGCAUUAAUAAAGGGAAGAAAAUGUUAAUUUGUCAAAUUAACCACAAAAGCAAAUAAAAAUUAAUGUAAAAAUUUCUUACUAUUAUUUUUAUUUUUAAAGUUAAUUUGAUAUUAAUUUGGUACUUGUAAAGAAAAUUAUUUAACGAUAAGAAUAUUGUAAAAAUUAUUGUAAGGAUAUUAUUGUAAAAAUAAAGACGAUAGUAUAACAUAUUUAACGAUAAGAAUAUUUUGAGAUAAUUUUAAAGACAUAAGAACUGAAUGAACAUUUAAUUCAAAAUAUAAGAAUUAAAAAAGCAUUCGCCUAUAUUUUUAGUGUUUUUGUAGUUCAAGUAAAGCAUAUUUGAUGCUGUUAAAUCGGGUUGACGAUCCCAUCAGAAAGAAAAAGAAAAGAAAUAUGAGGUGGAUGAUGACACUAGAUUACUUGCAUUCUAAGUCAAAUGAAUAUGCUCUCAUAGAUUAGAGAUAAUCUGUAUAUACGAGUCUCCGCAUGUAUACUAACUGCUAAGAUUUGGUUGUUCACUGGAUGCGCUCAAAUUGAUACUCUUUUUUUUUAUCAAUUCAACGAUUCAACGGCAGCAUGCAUGCAUUGAUGCAUAGGUUCAGAUACCUACAACUCACUCCGGCCCCACCCCAAAAGCCAAACCCUCAGCCCUCUUGAGUCUUUUACUAGUCUUCUAUGUCCGAAUGACUGUGUGUAGACAAGCAAUUUAUUUAGGUGUCAUCGAGGAAACGGCCAUGAAUGUGUGUGUAUGAUAACUUGCAAUCUUUAAGUUGGACACUACACAUGACAUGCUCUAUGUGUAUGUAAUGUAAAAGAGGGGGCAUGCAUAACCAUAAUUCAGUUUUAUCUUUAAAGAAACGUAACAAAAGUCUGUCAUUCUAGCUCCUUAUUUUCUCUGAGCACUCGUGAGACUAGGAAAAAGUCUUUUAAGUUUUGGAGAUUUGACAUUUUCUCCCAACUUUUCCCCCUUUUUUUUAACCACUUUCUCUUAACCCUUUAUGUUAUAUCCCACUAAUUUUUUUCACAUCAAAAUCUUAACCAAAAAAAUUAAUUUUUUAUUUUGUGGAUGGAAUGUUGACAUUAAGAGAGUAUACGGGAGGGGAUGGUAACAAAGAAUAAUAACGUAAGUUCUCAUUUGUAAUUUACGAUGUAUGUUAUUUUCGCUCUCUUUGUAAGUUUCCAUUUCUCAAAAAUACUGUAGAGCAUACUGUAAUAGAAUAACAACAUAGUCUGUAAGCUAAUUUGAAUUUUGUUUUCAACUUAAAUGUUAUAAUGGUAAAUAUAAUGGUAGAAAAUGUAAAUUAUGUUGUUGCUUUUACGGUGCAUUUAUUUUUUAUUUUUGGAUCAAGGAAUUAGAAUCUCAAAUUGAAAUUAUUGAUAGUGUUUACUUGAUGAAAUGAAGGUGAAAAUAUAAGUGAAAGUGAUGGGCUUUGUUGGACCAAAAAUAAAAUAGGCUCAAUCAAGGCAUAAAUGAAUUUAAUCCCAAUAAGACCCAUCUAAUAAAUUUACUCUCAAUUAAGUCUACAAAGUGCUGAACAAAUCACCUAUAAUAAUCCUCCUAAGUAAUAAAGCUUCAAAACCCAAAGGGUUCCAAGAUCCAAGGCCAAAUUUAUUCUAAAGUCCUAAGAUCAAUCCUAAGACAAACCACCUAGGAUAAUCCUCUUAAGUAACAAGACUUCAAAGCCUAAAAGGUCUCAAAGUCCAAGACUAAAAGAUUUUAAAGUCCUAGGAUCUUAUCUUAAGGCAAAACACCCAGAAUAAUCAUCCUAGAUGAUGAGGUUUCAAAGCUCAAAAGAUACCGAGAUCCUAGGCUUCUAUCCUAAGACAAACUACUUAGGAUAAAUCUCCUACGUUCUAAGGUUCUCAUCAUCCCAGAGUUUUAGUAAAAAUAACUUAAGGUUAAAACACUUCUUUCUUUAAUAUAUAGACAAACUUGCAUAUUCAUGUGUCAAUCAACAUGGGCACAAACAAACAAGUGUUGCCAGACGUGAUAAGAACAAUAACACUUGUCAUUAAAAUAAUUAGGACUCAAGUUAAAUUAAUUUCGCCCAUAAAAUAUGUCUUUUAUUCUCACUAAAAGGUAAGAAAAAAUGGACUCAAACGGAAAAAUGCUAACUUUCUCUCUCUAAUAUUUUUAUUUCUAAAUUUACAUUUACAAAAGUCUUGUGACUAACUUGACCAUAGGACGGUCUAUGCCGCCGAAGCUGGCUUUCUGAUUCUUUGUUGUGUUUGUAAAGUAUCACUAGACAAGAACAUUCUCAUUAUCUAAGGAAGUGGACUCAGACGAGAAUAUAUAAAGGCCUUUUAAGAUCAACCCAAAUGGUAAACUCACCAUCGUUAAAUCCAACAAACAAUAACCCAAGUCCUAAGGGGGUCGUUCUCAGUUGAAAUUUUCACAUAAUAAGUUGGGAUAAAAUUUGCAUAAGUAGGCUUCACACAAAUUUAAGAUUAGGAUUUGGAAGUUUGAUUCCCAAAGGGCUUAGGAUUUAGAUUCCAAUUCCUUUUGACUGAUUAUUUUAUCCCCACCUAAAUUAUUUAACU